CUCACCUGUCCGUGUCCCUGUCCCGGCUCCGCGCCGAGGCCGCGGCUCUGCGGGGGCGGCUGCAGGGGACACACCUGGGGACACGCCCGGACAGGUGUGACCCCUCCCCCCCCUCGGGGGGCGUGGCCGCCGCGCGCAGAGACCUGGCCCAGGUGAGCCACGCCCUGGGCGGGGCCACGGAGCGGCUGGAGAGGAUCCUGGCACACCUGGGGCAGGAUUUGGGGCCCCGCCCC